CUCUUUCCUUUCAUUCUUCUCUCGCCAGCUUGGUGAAUGUAUUGUAACACUACUAAGAAGCCCUCUCAAGGGAUUCACCCAUCAGCCAUGGUCAGAGCAACAUAACAGCUUUGUUCUGCCUUUGAAGAUGAUACACAGUUUCUAUGGAAACAAGCGCUACAGACCUGGUAACAUGAAGGAUGUUCAAUGUGUGUUUCCUGUUUGGGUUUCAGCUACACCUGCACUGUGCAACUGUUGGGGUGCUAACUGACUUCAGCUGGAUGAGUUCUUUGCCACCCUUACUCAUCUACUGGACUCUCUUUUAUCAAGAAGUUCAAAAAGCUCAAGAGAGGAAAAUAUUGUUACAGGAAGAUUCUCUAGGGAAAGAUGUCAUAGACCAGUGAUUCUCAAACUUCUUAAUGCUGUGACCCUUUAACACAGUUCCUCAUGUUGUGGUAACCCCCAACCAUCACAUUAUUUCAUUGCUACUUCAUAACUGUAGUUUUUGCCACUGUUAUAGAUUGUAAUGUAAAUAUCUGAUACUUAGAAUAUCUGAUAAUACAACCUCUGUGGGGAUCAGGACCCAUAGGUUGAGAGCUAUUUCUCUAGAGGGAUUGAAAUGCUCAUCCUUGUUACCCCAAUGUCUUAGUUAGGGUCUUACUGCUAUGAAGAGACACUACAACCAAGGCAACUUGACCAAGACACCGUGAUAAGGACAACAUUUAAUUGGGGCUGGCUUAUAGGUUCAGAGGUUCAGUCCAUUAUUAUCAAGGUGGGAGCAUGGCAAUGUCCAGGCAGGCAUGGUGCAGGAGGAGCUGAGAGUUCUACUUCACUUGAAGGUCACUAGAAGACUGGCUUCUAGGCAGCUGGACAAGGGUUUUAAAUCCUCAUGCCCACGAUGACAUACUUCUUCCAACAAGACCACACUACCUAAUAUUGCCACUCCGUGGGCCAAGCAUAUUCAAACCACCACACCCAAAUAAAAUAUUAAGGGUUUCAAGACAGCCAUGUAGUCUUUGUGUGACUUCAGAUCUCUAGAGCAUGGUGGGGCACUUCAGUCAUCAGGUGCUGAGGGCAAGCGGCUGGCUGAAAUGACUGGUGGUGACAGAGAAG
rnacentral:lncRNA from 1 species